AUUCAAGUGAAAAAGUUAGAGUUUCACACAAGUUUCGACUUCCCUUCUUCAAAGAGGUUGUUACUCAUGUAUCUAGAUUUGCAUUGAAUGAGUUAUAUAAUCAAUAUGAAGCAUCAAGUUCUUCUGAUCUUCCAUGUCAAUGUAAGGGUCAUUUUCUCAAGACAAUGGGUCUUCCUUGUGCUCACAUGAUUAGAGAGAUGAAUAUUGAAGUCUUGCAACUAAAUGACAUACAUCCACAAUGGAGGAUUGAUAGAAGAUUGUUUGUCAAUGAUCAUCAUGUAAGCUUGGACAAUGAACAAGAUCAAAUAAGCGGCCUUCUAUUGGAGUUUAAAGAUAAGUAUGAAAAGUUGACUCUUACUCAAAAAGAGGAUACCAAAAGGCAACUUUGUGAAUUUAUUGAUACUUCUCUUCCAUUAACUCUUGAGCCUAAUGUUAAACCUCACAAAGGUCGUCCAAUGGGUUCUAAAAAUAGAAAAGAAUCAAGCUCUACAAAGCAUGGUCCUUCAAAGUUUGAAAUAGUGGAGAAGGCUCAGAAACGUGCUCGACGGGUGUGAUGAGCAUAAUGAUUUGCCAAAGAAACUUUUUGUUAAUAAUAGCUUAGAUGUGUAAAGAACACAUUAAGGUUGGAGUGCAUGGGUUUCAUAUCUUUUUGGUAAUAUUGACAUCUCCUUUUGAACACAAGAUUAAAGGCCAAACAUAGUGUAGGCAGAAUGUGAAAGCUUGUAAUGAUAUCUGAUGUAUUUUUUGGGGCAUGAGGCUACUAUUAUGGGGAUUCAAGUGUAUGUGGAUUGCUUACUAGUAUUUUGUACAAUUCAUGUAACUUAUGCAUAUAUGCUAUAUCAUUAGGUAAUCGUUUUAUUUUUAUUUA